AUGCACAACUGGCUGAAGACUAGAAGGAUACCCAGGGUGCAACGGCUGCAAAUAGUAACCUCUUUGGUAGUGUAUGCAGCCUGUUGAUUGUAUGGGACCUUGGAGACAGGC
ensembl:snoRNA SNORA70 Small nucleolar RNA SNORA70